rnacentral:rRNA from 1 species
UAAAGAAUUUCGGUCAUCGAUGGGGAUGCGUUCCAUUAGCUUGUUGGCGGGGUAACGGCCCACCAAGGCAUCGAUGGAUAGGGGUUCUGAGAGGAAGGUCCCCCACAUUGGAACUGAGACACGGUCCAAACUCCUACGGGAGGCAGCAGUGAGGAAUAUUGGUCAAUGGGCGCUAGCCUGAACCAGCCAAGUAGCGUGAAGGAUGACUGCCCUAUGGGUUGUAAACUUCUUUUAUAUGGGAAUAAAGUGCAGUAUGUAUACUGCUUUGCAUGUACCUUAUGAAUAAGGAUCGGCUAACUCCGUGCCAGCAGCCGCGGUAAUACGGAGGAUCCGAGCGUUAUCCGGAUUUAUUGGGUUUAAAGGGAGCGUAGGCGGGUUGUUAAGUCAGUUGUGAAAGUUUGCGGCUCAACCGUAAAAUUGCAGUUGAUACUGGCAUCCUUGAGUACAGUAGAGGUAGGCGGAAUUCGUGGUGUAGCGGUGAAAUGCUUAGAUAUCACGAAGAACUCCGAUUGCGAAGGCAGCCUGCUGGACUGUAACUGACGCUGAUGCUCGAAAGUGUGGGUAUCAAACAGGAUUAGAUACCCUGGUAG